CUGAGAAUUAAGAAACCACUGAAAUGGGGAAAAUACAGGAAACACAAGGCAUGUUUCUGUAGCAGCUAUCUUACCCACAUAAUCCCUGCCUUGUGCUUAGAAAGGCUUGCAGCGACAGAAUGACAACGAAGAAGCAGGGGCAGAGGGGCAGGCUGUGCCCAGCACCAGCUGCACAGCUGGCUGUGAUGCCCUGCCAGUACACUGGGGACAUGUGAACGUGGUAUGCAGCAGCAGCAGGGAAAGAAGAUUAUGCACACAUUUCAGUUGUUAUGCACUGAGGUUGGAGGUAGAACACAUGAAGGCAGACAUCAAAGCAACAGCUAUCCUGAUGGUGCAGGAAAGCCCAGCGCUGAUGUGCCGACAUGGUACAAACAGAAAGCAGAGAUAGAAGGGUGCUGAUAAAGCAUGACAUUUUCUCCUCAAAGGAAAUACAGUGUGUGCCUGCAAGGCACCAGGACGGAAUGAGCACACAGAAGCCCAUUUUCAUUUGUGCUACAUGUUACCAGUGGAUAUUAGCAAGCGUAACAGUAGAGUUGACAGUUCUUCUUCCAAUCCACAUAUUAUGUAUGGUAUCAAGUGACAGCAGCAGCAAAAAAUACACUUACAAAGUAUUUAAGCUGAUCUAGAAUCCCCCACAGAAGAAACAAGCAGGUGAGCAGAACAUGUCUACUGACAGAGAUUUUUCACAGUCACAGAAUUGUAGGGGCUGGAAGGGACCUCUAGAGAUGAUCCAGUCCAACCUCCAGCAAAGCAGACUCCCUAGGCCAGGUUGUACAGGUAGGCAUCCAGGCAGAUCCUGAAUGUCUUCAGAGGAGGAGACUCCACCUCUCUGGGCAGCUCCGUCACCCACACUGUGAAGUUCUUACGCACAUUUGUCUGAAACUUCCCAUACUUCAGAUUGUGGCCAUUUCCCCUCAUCCUUUCGCCAUGCACUGAUGAAAAAAGUCUGGCAUCAUUCCUUUGCCUUCCACACUUUAGAUAUUUAGAGGCAUCGACCAAAUCCCCUCUCAGUCUUCUUUUCCCAAG